rnacentral:lncRNA from 1 species
AAGAGGUAUCUCAAACUUCUCAAGACCAAAACAGAGCUAACCAUUCUCCAUUUUCUAGUUCAUAAUUUCUGGAGAUGUUUCUUCUCAAUAAAUAUUAUUAGUAUAUGCCUUGUUGUUCAAGCCAGAUAUACCUAGGAGUCAUCUGAUUCCUCAUGGAACCCCACUCUAAAACACAAGCAUAAUCACCCCAACAAUUGAAAGUUUACUUAGGUUCACUUCCAAAAUGUAUCCCUAAUUUAUAUGGGUCUUUUCGUUUACACAGGUGAUGCAUUAGUCAAGCCACCAUUAUCUAGUAGCAAGAUGGCUAGAAUAGUCUUUUCAUCUAAUCUCUAAAUGUAAACAACUUUUUCUGGCCACAUGAUCUUUGACUCCAGGCUGCAUCAUACCUCACUUUCCUUCAUUGGCUUUGCUCCCAGUCUUACUGACUGUCUUUGCUUUUCUUACAUACUUUAAGUUGUUCCUACUUGGGGCUUUCAUACAAGUUUUUACUUUUAUUUGUAAAACUGUCCCCAAAAGAUUACAUGACUAGCUUGUUCUUGUCCUUUCACUCUCAGCUCAGAUGCUACCUUUUUAGUGAGGAUGUUCCAAAUAGCCCAUCUAAUUAAAGAAUCCACCAUCCUGUGGCCCCUCUUUCCCUUCCCCCAGUCCACCACAACCACAUCUUCUGGUUUCAUUACAGCUCCAAUCAUGGAUCACUCUCUCAAACUAUAUUAUUUUUCUUAAGUUUGAGAAUUCAGUCUCUGUCUAUAGCCACUGUGAUUUCCAUUAGAGCAGAUGUAAGAUAUGUGGGAAGAGUCAAAGUGGCUUUCCUACUCUUGCAGAGCCAACACAACACCUCUAACAUGAGGUGUGUGGGGGUUUUCUCCCAUACAUCAAGCAAGCAGUUCUCCAACAGACACCUGCCAAGUGUUCUCUAAUUUAAGUCAAUUCAGACACAGUCUACCAGCAGAAAGUGUCAGUUCCCUUAAGUCGAAGGAUCAUUUUCAAAAGACUGCCUCCGGACCCGCUUCCAAUGCCAGUUGCAAGCACAGGUUUUGAAUGACUGGCUGUAGACCCCGUCCUUGGUUUUGAUUAAUUUGCUAGAGCAGCUCACAGAACUCAGGGAAACACACUUAAUACUUACAUUUGCCUUGAUUAUUAUAAAGGAUAUUACAAAGGAUACAGAUAAACAGUCAGAUGAAGACAUAUGGAAGAAGGGGCACAGAGCUGGCAUACUCUCUCUGGGAUCCUCCACAAGUUCAGCUGUCAGGAAACUCCCUGACUCCAGUCCUUUUGAGUUAUUAUGGAAGCUUCCUUACAUAGGCCUGAUUGAUUAAAUCACCAGUCGUUGGUUAUCCACUUAACUUUCAGCCUUUGUCACUUACUUGGAGGUUGGUGGUGGGGCUGAAAGUUUUAACCCUCUAAUUCUGGUCUUAGUCGUGGUGACUGACCCCCAUUCUGAAGCUAUCUAGAGGCUGCCAGCCAGCAAUCAUUCAUUAGCAUACAAAUGAUAUUCUUAUCACUCCAGAGAUUUCAAGGAUUUUAAGAGUCAUAUGUCAGGAAAAGGGGAUGAAGACCAAAUGUAUAUAUCUCAUUUUAAAUCACAGUAUCACAGCAGGAAUUAUAUUUGUCUUCUUCCCAGUUACAAUUCAAGCCCAUGAACUAUGCCAAGGAUGUGGGUGCCCUAUUUUGCCAAAUGAAUAAAUAAAACUAUGGAUACAUUGGAAGCAUCCGGGGAAAAAUUACGAUGGCAAAUUAUAUAAAGACAGCCCUAUUUAUUUACUAAUUUUUUUGACUUUUCUUCUGUAUAGUCUGUCACUUGUGUGUGGUUAAUUCAAAGCACAGGAGAAUUCCAGUCUCCAAGAUUGAAAAACGUAAAAACAAAUUAUGGAUGCCUGCACCUAAUCUUUCUUUUUCCGUCUGCUUGAUGUAAUUUUAAAACAAGUAUUCCCUCUUGUUAUUCAUCUUACUAAUGAAAAGCUAAACAGAAAACCGAACACCACAUGUUCUCACUCAUAGGUGGGAACUGAACAAUGAGAUCACUUGGACUCGGGAAGGGGAACAUCAUACACUGGGGCCUAUUAUGGGGAGGGGGGAGGGGGGAGAGAUUGCAUUGGGAGUUAUACCUGAUGUAAAUGACAAGGUGAUGGGUGCUGACGAGUUGAUGGGUGCAGCACACCAACAUGGCACAAGUAUACGUAUGUAACAAACCUGCACGUUAUGCACAUGUACCCUAGAACUUAAAGUAUAAUAAUAAAAAAAAAAUUAAAAAAAAAAGAAAAAA